rnacentral:sRNA from 2 species
GUCUAUUUGACCUUGAAGUUGGUCCUUUCAUUAUUUAUGAUGUAAGGUUUUGUUCAGUGCUUGGGGACAAGUGGGAUGUGGUGGAUCAGGACCACCCGCGCUAGCGCCAGAGUUCCCACGCCGCCACGCCUUGACAUCCCUGCCAUGAUCCUGGUAGUCGACGGAGGUCGGUGAACGGAAGCUUACCAUCCCCACCAUCGGUAAAGCCGUUUCAGCCUUCGAAAGAGCUUCGAAGUGGCUUAAGUUGAUAACAUGUUUUCUGGGACCGGCGGAGGAGCUGAAUCAUCCGGGUCAAUAUUAGUACCACUUCCAGGAUGCGAAGGGCGCUAUUGUGAGAAUACCCUCAGAUGCAGAUCCGGGAAUUAUUGCGAGGUGGGGAAAAAGGCGGCUCGGCCCUCUUGACAAACGUGCGACGGAGACCUUGAUAGCUGAUACAGUGAGGUUAUACUAAAGUUGGCUAAUUAUGAAAUAAGGGCAGAGAGCACAGUAUGUUCAAAAAGGCGGGAAGCGAAUCACGCAAAAUAUCAAUGCGCGCGCAGGUGAUCAUAGAGAAGGUCUUGGAUGGAUGGAUGCGCCAAAGGGGAGGGCCAAGCCAAUUGUGACCAACUUCUGAGGUGAACAUGAGAGAAUAAUCAAAGCUGACAUGCAAGGAGACUCGUUUCCCUUGGCCUUAGAAGGUAUACCCUUUUCUCUAAUACUCUCAUUACGUUUCGCUAUAAAACUCGGAGCCAGAAAAUUCGUCCUUUCACGAAAUAUCGCGAGUGCGAAGACAAAUAUCCGC